rnacentral:rRNA from 1 species
GAUGAACGCUAGCUACAGGCUUAACACAUGCAAGUCGAGGGGUAACGAGAGGAAAGCUUGCUUUCCUUGUCGACGACCGGCGCACGGGUGAGUAACGCGUAUCCAACCUGCCCCCAACUAGGGAAUAACCUUGCGAAAGUAAGACUAAUACCCUAUAAUUUCCUCAGAUGCCAUCUGACGAGGAAUAAAGAUUUAUCGGUUGUGGAUGGGGAUGCGUCUGAUCAGCUUGUUGGCGGGGUAACGGCCCACCAAGGCAACGAUCAGUAGGGGUUCUGAGAGGAAGGUCCCCCACAUUGGAACUGAGACACGGUCCAAACUCCUACGGGAGGCAGCAGUGAGGAAUAUUGGUCAAUGGGCGGAAGCCUGAACCAGCCAAGUAGCGUGCAGGAUGACGGCCCUAUGGGUUGUAAACUGCUUUUAUACAGGAAUAAAGUUAGCCACGUGUGGUUAUUUGUAGGUACUGUAUGAAUAAGGACCGGCUAAUUCCGUGCCAGCAGCCGCAGUAA